rnacentral:rRNA from 1 species
CCAUGAGACCGUACCCUAAACCAACACAGGUGGACUGGUAGAGCAUACCAAGGCGCUUGAGAGAACGAUGUUGAAGGAACUCGGCAAAAUACCUCCGUAAGUUCGCGAGAAGGAGGCCCAGUUUCUACGCAAGUAUUGGCUGGGGGCACAAACCAGGGGGUGGCGACUGUUUACUAAAAACACAGGGCUCUGCGAAGUCGCAAGACGACGUAUAGGGUCUGACGCCUGCCCGGUGCCUGAAGGUUAAAAGGAGGGGUGAGAGCUCUGAAUUGAAGCCCAGGUAAACGGCGGCCGUAACUAUAACGGUCCUAAGGUAGCGAAAUUCCUUGUCGGGUAAGUUCCGACCUGCACGAAUGGCGUAACGACUUCCCCGCUGUCUCCAACAUCGACUCAGCGAAAUUGAAUUGCCUGUCAAGAUGCAGGCUUCCCGCGGUUAGACGGAAAGACCCCGUGCACCUUUACUACAGCUUCACACUGGCAUCAGGCCAUGCAUGUGCAGGAUAGGUGGUGGGCUUUGAAACCAUGACGCCAGUCAUGGUGGAGCCUCCCUUGAGAUACCACCCUUGCAUUGCUUGAUGUCUAACCGCGGUCCGUUAUCCGGAUCCGGGACCCUGUGUGGCGGGUAGUUUGACUGGGGCGGUCGCCUCCUAAAGCGUAACGGAGGCGCGCGAAGGUUGGCUCAGAGCGGUCGGAAAUCGCUCGUUGAGUGCAAUGGCAGAAGCCAGCCUGACUGCGAGACUGACAAGUCGAGCAGAGUCGAAAGACGGCCAUAGUGAUCCGGUGGUCCCGAGUGGAAGGGCCAUCGCUCAACGGAUAAAAGGUACGCCGGGGAUAACAGGCUGAUACUGCCCAAGAGUCCAUAUCGACGGCAGUGUUUGGCACCUCGAUGUCGGCUCAUCUCAUCCUGGGGCUGGAGCAGGUCCCAAGGGUACGGCUGUUCGCCGUUUAAAGAGGUACGUGAGCUGGGUUUAGAACGUCGUGAGACAGUUCGGUCCCUAUCUGCCGUGGGUGUAGGAUACUUGAGAGGAGUUGCCCCUAGUACGAGAGGACCGGGGUGAACGAUCCACUGGUGGACCUGUUGUUGCGCCAGCAGCAGUGCAGGGUAGCUAUGAUCGGACAGGAUAACCGCUGAAGGCAUCUAAGCGGGAAGCCCCCCUCAAAACAAGGUAUCCCUGAGGACCGAGGUAGACCACCUCGUCGAUAGGCCAGAGAUGUAAGUGCGGUAACGCAUUCAGUUGACUGGUACUAAUGGUCCGAUAGGCUUGAU